rnacentral:snRNA from 1 species
GGAUGUGAGAGUGGCAUCUGUCACCCAGCUAAGCACUAGGAUUGGCUUGGCUGAUCUGGCUGGCUAGGUGGCCAUUUCCUUCCUCUGUCACAGCCCCACGUAUGUGUCCCUUAGCCCCCAACGCUAUACGCUCAAUGGUCGAAGAGGCGACCUUCCCAAGAGGAGGCCUAGUCUUCAGUCAAGGUUAAGUGGGUUGCUGUGCUCCCCUGCUAGACCCUCCAAACAAGCUCGCAAGAAACCAUCCAGUAAGAAAAAAAGAGAUCUAAAAUAGAUAAAUGUAAAUUGUAUUU